rnacentral:rRNA from 1 species
GACGAACGCUGGCGGCGUGCUUAACACAUGCAAGUCGAACGGGCCCGCCCCUGUUUUUGGGGGUGGGUUGAGUGGCGAACGGGUGAGUAUCCCGUGAGUAACCUGCCCCCUGCUCCUGGAUAACUGCUUGAAAGGGCGGCUAAUACGGGGUGUGCCGGCUGGUCCGCAUGGGCCUGGUCGGGAUAGUUUCAUCUUCGGGUGUUUCGGUGGGGGAUGGGCUCGCGGCCUAUCAGCUUGGUGGUGGGGUGAUGGCCCACCAAGGCGGUGACGGGGAGCCGGCCUGAGAGGGUGCGCGGCCACACUGGGACUGGGACACGGCCCAGACUCCUGCGGGAGGCAGCAGUGGGGGGGAUUGCACAAGGGGCGGAAGCCGGAUGCAGCGACGUCGCGUGAGGGAUGGAGGGCGUCGGGUUGUGAACCUCUUUCUCCGGUGGUGAAGGCCCUGUCCGUUGCGGCGGGGUUGACGGUAGCCGGGUAUGAAGCGCCGGCUAACUACGUG